rnacentral:sRNA from 1 species
UGGAUGAAGUCUCAAGAGAUUAGUGG